UGGGGACUGACAGUGACAAAGGAUGGGCAAGCCUCUCCCAACAAGAGUGCAUACCAACGGCUACCGUUACCGCUAGAAUCAAGAUGGCAGCUAGUGCAACAUGGUCUCCACGGUGGAACCCGACCCUUUGGUGGGAGUGCGUGCCAGCUUUUCUUCCUAUCUCUAGCGUUGUAACGCCGAACCAUCGGUGCCACCAACCCUAUGGUGCUGCCCAGCGGCAAUAGGAGUGAAACAGGAAACACUGAUAAAGUUAAUUUCGUCAGCACACCCAGUGACCCAGAAGGAAGAGAUUGUUUUAACCAUUGUUUGGAUAUCAAAACAACAAUCUACCUCCAGUAGACUAAAGCCUGACUACUAGAGGAAGUUGAUAACAAGAAUCAUGGAAUGGGCUGCACAGAAAUUUGUCUUCUAGAAUUCUGCACCAAGUUCAUUCGGAAUCAGAUAACACCCUGCUCAAAGAGUAUGUUAAAAAGAAGAACUUAUCCAGUCUGUCAUCUGUGUUGGCUGAAAAGAAUGAAUGUAGGUUGUUCAAUCUGCAAUGUGACAAGUCAUUGAAGAUUGUUCGAAUCCAGAUAGUGACCGAGUCAGAACUGGUUUAUAUCCUUAAUACAUUCACAUUGCAAAAGAUAUUGAAAUUGCGCUUCAUUUGGAGUUAUCACUGCAAAGUCUUCUACUAUUUUUAUUCCACGCUCGGCGCAGUCGUUAAAUACUUCGAGAUUUAAACAAAAGUCUCUAAGUGUCCGAUAGUCCGUCAUCUGAUUCCAAUAUUUGCUUGGGAGUUGCAUCCAGUCUUGACUUUGGUUAAGCCCAAUUAAUGAAAAUAAAAGCCAAGAGCGGCGACCAAUGAGAUCGAGCAGCAUAGGGGGAGUAUUUGUUUCAAUUUUCGGAAAUGUAGGCUUCCCAAUUUCAAA